rnacentral:rRNA from 1 species
UAAACGGCCGCGGUACUCUGACCGUGCAAGGUAGCAUAAUCAUUUGCCUUAUAAUUGAAGGCUGGAAUGAAUGGUUUGACAAGAAUCUAACUGUCUCUCUAUGACUACUUAGAAUUUUAUUUUUGGAUGAAAAAGUCCAGAUUAAAUUAAAAGACAAGAAGACCCUAUCGAGCUUUAGAGAAAUUAGAGGAUUUAAAUUAAUUAAUAUUUUAUAAAAAAUAGACUUCUAUAAACAUUGGUUGGGGCAACCUGGGAGUAUAUAAAGCCUCCUUUAAUUGUAUAAGUCUUACAAGUAUUGAUCCAAACUUUUUGAUCAAAGGAAUUAGUUACCGUAGGGAUAACAGCAUUAUCUUUUUUGAGAGCCCAUAUCGAAAAAAAGGUUUACCUCGAUGUUGGACCAGAAUGUCCUGAAGAUGCAGAAGUCUUCAA